rnacentral:rRNA from 1 species
GACGUAGGGCGCGAGCGUUGUCCGGAUUUAUUGGGCGUAAAGAGCUCGUAGGCGGCUUGUUGCGUCAGCUGUGAAAACCCGCAGCUCAACUGUGGGCCUGCAGCCGAUACGGGCAGACUAGAGUUCGGCAGGGGAGACUGGAAUUCCUGGUGUAGCGGUGAAAUGCGCAGAUAUCAGGAGGAACACCGGUGGCGAAGGCGGGUCUCUGGGCCGAUACUGACGCUGAGGAGCGAAAGCGUGGGGAGCGAACAGG